AAAAAGCCCCAUACCCUCUACGGCCCAAGUAUUGCAUAGAUCACAAGGUUUGGUAUGAAGACUACCUUCGAAGAGAAAGCCUUCUGAUAGAGGAAGAUGAGGCAGUGGAAGGACAGGAUGAAAUUCUCGAUUAU